ACAAAUGUAAGUACUUGAUUCAAAUUUCUAGAACAAAUGCAUUAACUUUUCGUACAUAGAAUACAAAAUGCAAUAAUUUGACCAGAUAAUUGUGUCUUGAAAACAACCAAAGGGAUUUCAAGGGUCUUAUUCGGGUAGUUUCAUUUAGGCUCUAAGCGGCAGUCAGGCAGCCAACAAACAGACUCCUGCUGAUGACUCGAUGAUAGAGCCCUUACUUUUUAUUUUCAUUCAGAACAGAAGUUAAUCAAAUUCAUCAACUUACAAUAAUAUCAAAAUCCAAUUCACAUAAAAUCACUUCUAAAAUCAAUUAUUUUAUUUACAUGCCUUGUAACUCCAUUAUGCAGCAAAAUACUAUGAAUAAAUCAUGAAUCAUUAAAAUCAGUGAAUAUAUAUAUUCAUCAACUAUUAAGCACCUUCUUUCAAUUCAAUUUAAACUAUAAUAAUCAAAUAUUAAUGCCAGUCAAAUAUAAAGAGAAAAAUCAGUCAGCAAAAGUUAGUACUUGAUUCAAAUUUAUAGAGCAAAUGCAUCAACUUUCCGUAUAUAAUAUAAAAAUCCAAAAUGCAAAAAUUUCACCAGAUAAUUGUGUCUUGAAAACAACCAAAAGGAUUUCAAGGGUCUUAUUCAGGUAGUUUCAUUUAGGCUCUAAGCGGCAGUCAGGCAGUCAACAAACAGACUCCUGCUGAUGACUCGAUUAUAGAGCCCUUACUUUUUAUUUUCAUUCAGAACAGAAGUUAAUCAAAUUCAUCAACUUAUGAACAAUAAUAUCAAUAAUCCAAUUCACAUAAAAUCACUUCUAAAAUCAAUUAUUUUUAUUUACAUGCCUUGUA
rnacentral:lncRNA from 1 species